GCUAGGUGUGGUGGCACACACCUGUAAUCCCAGCAGCUUGGGAGGCUGAGACAGGAGGAUCACGGGUUUAAAGCCAGCCUCAGCAAUGGCGAGGCUCUAAGCAACUCAGUGAGACCUGUCUCUA
rnacentral:sRNA from 1 species